CUCUCAUUCUUCAGCAGUAGCGAGGCUUCUGCUGAUGCUGCAGGAAGGCUCCCUCUGGGAGCCACAGCACUUAGCACCCAGGAGCUUGUUGAGAGCAGUACAGAGAGAGCUGUUAUGGAAUAAAG